UGGAAUUCUUUGUUUUUUAGAAAAGUAUGAACAUGGAAAAUAUGCUUUGCUCAGGAAAUAGGGAAACUGUGUUGUUGCAACAGGCACGUGGGUGCAUGACAUUUACUGGAUGAUACUUGCUUGGGAGAGAUCUACUUUAGCUGCUAACACACGCAAAUUGAGUAGGUGGGAUUUUUAUUCAGCUAGCUGACCCCAAUCACAAUGCUUUGCACACGAGUGCAUGAUCCUAGUCUUUAAUCAGGAUUCAAAUACGCUUCCUAUUUGUACAUAUUUGACAAGAAACGAAGCAUCCGAGAAGUACAGUAGUAUUACCAGUUGUAGCAUCUUUCAAUGGUUCUUUGCUAUUCUCCCGGAACUUAUGAUGCAUCCAGCCCCAAAGCUGCCAGAAAAUAAGAUUUGUGGUGACCAACACCAAGAAAGCUACAAAAUUUUGGUUGGCCGUUCUCUAUCAAGAUCACAUCAAGAUCAAGUUGGAGGGCCAUUACAGAUGAGCCCCUACUGUUGUGGUUACAUGACGCGCAA